rnacentral:sRNA from 1 species
GUUCGGUGGAAACGAGAAUAAAACGUGAAGGAUAACGUUGCGUCAGCAACGGCCCGUAGGGUGAGGCGAAGCCGAGUCAUCCUGCACGACCCACCA